rnacentral:tRNA from 1 species
GCUGGCGUAGCUUAAUAAAAAGCAUAGCACUGAAAAUGCUAAGAUGGGUCAUAAUAAACCCCGCACGCA